rnacentral:rRNA from 1 species
AGGACGAACGCUGGCGGCGUGCUUAACACAUGCAAGUCGAGCGGUAAGGCCUUUCGGGGUACACGAGCGGCGAACGGGUGAGUAACACGUGGGUGAUCUGCCCUGCACUUCGGGAUAAGCCUGGGAAACUGGGUCUAAUACCGGAUAUGACCUCAGGCUGCAUGACUUGGGGUGGAAAGAUUUAUCGGUGCAGGAUGGGCCCGCGGCCUAUCAGCUUGUUGGUGGGGUAAUGGCCUACCAAGGCGACGACGGGUA